GGCAUGAGUCCUUGCAGGGCAAAGGGCAAGUACACACUACUUGGCAUGUAGUACACACGGAAAUGAGGUUCACAGGCUGGCAGCCACAUAGGAGAGCCAGCGAGGCACUGGGGUGCACUGCAGAGCUGCGAGGCACGCAGGCAUACAAGAUAAGCAGUGGACAUGCAGGCAUGUAAAGAAACAAGGUUUAACAGUGUGCAAAGUGUGCACAGGCGAGUGAAGCACAUGGGCAGCAUGCGAAGUGCGAGCGUGCAGGAGGCAUGUGGGCAAGUGAAACACUCUAGCUAGCAAAUAAGGUUCAAGCACUGGGAGUGCCUGGGACAUGCAGUAUUGGCAUGGAAUGCACCAGAAGAGCCUGGGGCACACAGGAGCAAAUGAGGUUCACUCCUAGAAUUUUCCAGAAGCACUUAGGACAGUGUAGCACUGCCAUAGUUGUUCAGUUAGUUAGACAUAUUUUCAAGGAACCUUCUAGAGUUGGCUAGAGACUAUAGAAGCGGC
rnacentral:misc_RNA from 1 species